rnacentral:misc_RNA from 1 species
AAAUGCGAUAAGUAAUGUGAAUUGCAGAAUUCAGUGAAUCAUCGAAUCUUUGAACGCACCUUGCGCUCCUUGGUAUUCCUUGGAGCAUGCCUGUUUGAGUAUCAUGAAAUCUUCAAAGUAAAUCUUUUGUUAACUCAAUUGGUUUCUACUUUGGUAUUGGAGGUCUUUGCAGCUUCACACCUGCUCCUCUUUGUUCAUUAGCUGGAUCUCAGCGUUAUGCUUGGUUCCACUCGGCGUGAUAAGUUAUCUAUCGCUGAGGACACUGUAAAAGGUGGCCAAGGUAAAUGCAGAUGAACCGCUUCUAAUAGUCCAUUGACUUGGACAAUACUUUUAUGAUCUGAUCUCAAAUCAGGUAGGACUACCCGCUGAACUUGAGC